AUCGAGCGCACCCAGGAUCUCUCUGUAGGCAUUGUGUCCCAGUGUGGCUAGAGAGCAGGUAUUUUAAGUCACCUGUUGUCCAGACCUCAUCAGCUGAAUAGCCUGUUGUGCUAAAGGUUCACCACAGAGAAGGAAGUGGUUAACGCUGAGGUAAAAAGAUUUUGUCUAAUAGUUAUGCAAGUUUACUAGUUAAGCGAGGUGGAGUCAGAGCUGGGUUGACUACUUACUGCAUUGUGUGAGGUAAAUAUUGUCAGGUAUUUAGCAAGUAUGUUUUGGCAGUAUGUGUUAAGACAACGGAACUAAUUAAAUUCUUGUAAUUUUAGGGUUGUAUAGCCAUUGCUGUUUUGCCUGCCUGAUCAACUGCUGCUAUUUGUGUUUGAAUUGUUAUGUCUAUUUUAUGAGAAUUGUUACAGGAUGGGCCCCUGUGAAUGUGAUUGCCAACUGCCGGGGUCUGCUAGGGGUGUGGCGGUUGUCCCUGUUUUUGGCUGUACGAUUUUCCUCAGCUUCUAAGCCAUUCCCCCCACCCCCCACCCCCUUUUUAGUGUUCUGCCAGACAGACAGGGUGGUGGAUUGUGGGAACCCCUUUCCCCUUCAAUGCAUGUGGUGGUGGGUAUGACAGCUGAGUGUGCAUGCUUUACUUAGUUUUAUUGUGACAUUUGUGUGUGUCUUGCUGUGUCUAGGUGGCUGCGUGCCGGUGUGAGUGGUGUCAAAGCACCUGGGUGGCCCACAGGUAACCCCGCACCGGCAGGUCUGGUCCCUGUAGAUGCUGAGGCGUUUUUAACAAUGUGCUUUUAUCCCUUAGCAUCUCUGGCAGUAUUGGCAUCCACAUCUUAUUUGUUUUUAUUGUUGUGCUUGUGCAGCGAAUAAAAUUGCCCAAAGCCUGA